GCGCUCUGCGCCAAGGAGCUGGGCCAGGCCCCGAUGACUCUGGCUUCCCCAAGGAUCUUGGCCGAGAAGCCAGAACUUGACGGCGUCAUUCCCACCGUAUUCCACAAAAACAGGGCCACCAGGCACAAGCAAGCAGCCUCUCCAACCUCACCCCACCGAGACCUUCCUUGUCGGCUCUCAACUCGCAUCCUAAGGCCUGGCUGAGACCCCCUACACCCUCCCUCUCAUCACAUUGACCCUGAGGCCUGGAGCUACAGUGAUGUGAGGAAUCAGCAGACAAUUACACAACAUGCACAUUUUUGGUAUUUGAUUUGAUUUGGACCCAAGAACGGAAUUCAAUGGGAAGCCAAGUUUAGGAAAAAUUUGAACUAAAUUCUAAGAUCCAGCCAGACCUUCACAGUUAAUUCCUAACAAAAUCAGGUCCAUUAAGUCCACAUCUCAGGAUGUGAUGCUCCUGUGCCUGCUCUACGGUUUGUCGUUUUGUAAUAUGCCGGUGUCCCCUGCUCUUUCUUAAAGUCUGCUUUAUGUCA